UAAAGUUCUCAAGUCUUUAGUUUUUAAACUUACACUUAGUUAAUUGAAGUGUUUUAGGUAAAGAACAUAAUUCUUUAUUUUUCUUUCCAGCUGUUGCUGUAUUGGACACUUGCUCCCAUCUACUUUCUUCUCUAGAAUCCACUGCUCUGGAAUGAGUAAAUUUUUUUAGAAGCAGAAGUGGAGCCACUGAGGAAGCACAGGCUCCCAUGGUGGUCGGUUGUGUCACCCCACAAUGUCACUGUUGCUGAGUCCCCAUCGCCUCUGUGUUGUGGAACAGUUAGAGACACACAGCAUUGUCUGUGAGUAGCUCUGCGUGAAGGACCAUUUUCUAGAUGAGAGGCACAUCUCAAUACAGCUCACUGAUCAGACUCAGGUGAGUGGGACCUGCUCUUUUCUCUUCCUCCUGGCUUGGGGAAAGUCACUAUCAGGUGGGUGGUUUUGGCCUCCGGGCAGCUACUGAGGGUAAUCCCUGAACACUCACUGGCUGCCUGUUCUGUGCUGACAGUCGUCUCAUUCAUCCUCACAGCAAUUCCAUUCUGCAUCUUUUCUGAUCACCUCUGUGACCACCCAGGACAAUCCCAUCAGGACACUGUCACCAGGCCCAGUCUAGCUCCAUGAUAACCAAGACACAGGUGCAGAGACAACCGUCCUACAUUGUGCCUGCAUCUGACCCCCCUCAGUGGGUAGUGACCAGCACAACAUGGAAGAAGCCAGGGCAGCAUGCAGCCAGCUGCUCUGCAGCCCCAAAUGGCUCCUGGGCCUUGGGAAGUCAUUCAUAAAAGGGAAGCUGGUCACUUUGAGGUCCCUGAAGGGAAGGGUGAACGUGCAUCCCAACAGCCCUGGCAGCCAGCACCAUGCCAUACAUCUUCUCACCCAACCUGUGUGACAGAGGCCCCCUCCUGGGGCACAAGUCCCAUACCUAAAGCAUCCUGUCCCAGUCGGACCUCAUCCUGAGCCCUGGGAGGGGAGAGGCACCAUGGGCCCCCCUUCAGCAGACAGGAUUACCACCCAGGGGACUCAGCCUUCUGUGGCCCUGGCCAGACUUAGAAUUUGGUCCAAGACAAACUUACUCGGAGCAGCUUCUCAGUACCUGGGGCCUGUGCAUGCCAGGCAAGGCCAAGCUGGAUCAAAGAGCAACGAGCCACCUCUGCAAGUGUGUGCCAGGAGCAGGUGGAGAAGUCACCAACCUCACCCACUCAAGGAAACAGGGAUGGCCAGUUUCCCACAGUCUGAGUGACCACCACCUGACAGCUGAUGGAGUGGAGGCCUGAGGAAAAGCAGAUGGCACUGGGGCUCCACCUCCAGGGCAGAAUAACUGAUUUACCCUGACUGGCAGGGAGUGACGUUGGUGGCUGGUCCACUGGCUCCUGGCACACCCUUGCAGAGGUGGGUGGUUGCUCUUUGAGACAGCUUGGCUUUGCCUGGCAUGCACAGGCCUCAGUGCAACAAAUGUGCUGCAAAUAGAGCCACAUAGAGGAAACGAGCAGCAGGCUCAGAAGUGGGGUGUGUGCUGCCUUUGGGGCUCCAGUCCAAGCAUCAGGGCUUCUACAGCACUGUGGGCUUCUCGGGUGCCAAGAGGCAGACCACAGGCCAUCUUGAGGAGGACUCUGGUAAGAGCUUCCUUGUGUAUGUGGAUGAUGUCCAGAAUGUUGGCCUGGUGUCCCUGA